rnacentral:rRNA from 1 species
GACGAACGCUGGCGGCGUGCUUAACACAUGCAAGUCGUACGGUAAGGCCCUUUCGGGGGUCCACGAGUGGCGAACGGGUGAGUAACACGGGAGUAACCUGCCCACAACUUUGGGAUAACGCUAGGAAACUGGUGCUAAUACUGGAAAUGUGCUCCUGCUGCAUGGUGGGGGUUGGAAAGCUCCGGCGGUUGUGGAUGGACUCGCGGCCUAUCAGCUUGUUGGUGGGGUAGUGGCCUACCAAGGCGGCGACGGGUAGCCGGCCUGAGAGGGUGACCGGCCACAUUGGGACUGAGAUACGGCCCAGACUCCUACGGGAGGCAGCAGUGGGGAAUAUUGCACAAUGGGCGCAAGCCUGAUGCAGCAACGCCGCGUGCGGGAUGACGGCCUUCGGGUUGUAAACCGCGUUCAGCAGGGACGAAGCUUUUUGUGACGGUACCUGCAGAAGAAGCACCGGCUAACUACGUG